GAUGAACGCUGGCGGCGUGCUUAACACAUGCAAGUCGAACGAUGAAGCCCAGCUUGCUGGGUGGAUUAGUGGCGAACGGGUGAGUAACACGUGAGUAACCUGCCCUUAACUCUGGGAUAAGCCUGGGAAACUGGGUCUAAUACCGGAUAGGAGCGCCUACCGCAUGGUGGGUGUUGGAAAGAUUUAUCGGUUUUGGAUGGACUCGCGGCCUAUCAGCUUGUUGGUGAGGUAAUGGCUCACCAAGGCGACGACGGGUAGCCGGCCUGAGAGGGUGACCGGCCAGACUGGGACUGAGACACGGCCCAGACUCCUACGGGAGGCAGCAGUGGGGAAUAUUGCACAAUGGGCGAAAGCCUGAUGCAGCGACGCCGCGUGAGGGAUGACGGCCUUCGGGUUGUAAACCUCUUUCAGUAGGGAAGAAGCGAAAGUGACGGUACCUGCAGAAGAAGCACCGGCUAACUACGUG
rnacentral:rRNA from 1 species